rnacentral:tRNA from 1 species
GGAAAUGUGGCGUAAUUGGUAACGCGUCAGCUUGUCACGUUGAAGAUUGCGGGUUCAAGCCCCGUCUUUUCCG